CGACCGGCGAACGGGUGCGUAACGCGUAUGCAACCUACCUUCAACUGGGGAAUAGCCCGUGGAAACAUGGAUUAAUGCCCCAUAAAACAGGGGGCCCGCAUGGGUCUAUUUGUUAAAGAUUUAUUGGUUGGAGAUGGGCAUGCGUCUGAUUAGUUAGUUGGCGGGGUAACGGCCCACCAAGACGACGAUCAGUAGGGGUUCUGAGAGGAUGAUCCCCCACACUGGCACUGAGAUACGGGCCAG
rnacentral:rRNA from 1 species